rnacentral:rRNA from 1 species
GACGAACGCUGGCGGCGUGCUUAACACAUGCAAGUCGAACGGGCCUGUCUUCUUUUUUGGGGGGUGGGUUGAGUGGCGAACGGGUGAGUAUCACGUGAGUAACCUGCCCUUCGGUCCUGGAUAACCGCUUGAAAGGGCGGCUAAUACGGGGUGGUCCGGUUGGUCCGCAUGGGCUGGUCGGGAUAGAUUCACUGUUUUUGGUGUUUCGGCGGGGGAUGGGCUCGCGGCCUAUCAGCUUGUUGGUGGGGUGAUGGCCUACCAAGGCGGUGACGGGUAGCCGGCCUGAGAGGGUGGGCGGGCACACUGGGACUGGGAUACGGCCCAGGCUCCUGCGGGAGGCAGCAGUGGGGGGUAUUGCACAAUGGGCGGAAGCCUGAUGCAGCGACGUCGCGUGAGGGAUGGAGGCCUUCGGGUUGUGAACCUCUGUUUCCGGUGGUGAAGGCCCUGUCCGUGUGGUGGGGUUGACGGUAGCCGGGGAUGAAGCGCCGGCUAACUACGUG